CGCAGACUGAUGGAUUUUACCCGGAUACCGAGGAUCAUCUUACACCGGAUAGAUCUCCCACAGUGCUGGGUGUGUAAAGAGGAGGAGGUUCUGAUUGAAUUCACAGAUUGUUCCAAGGAGGAGAACUCCAUUUUAGAACAAGAGGAACCAGAAGCUCUGAAGAUAAAACAGAGCAAGAGUUCAAAGAGGAAGAGAAGCAACUCUGCAUCAGUCAGGAUGAAGAGCAGCUUGUGCUGAAACAGGAGACUGAUGACAUUUUGGUGAAUCCUCCUAAUGUGCAAAGAAUCCACAAUGAAACAGAACCACAGAGGAACCAACUCAUCUCUCAUGACUCUGCUGAGGAUGAGAACCAGGAUCAGGAAGGAAGCAAUUCUG